rnacentral:rRNA from 1 species
AUGAACGCUGGCGGCGUGCCUAAUACAUGCAAGUCGAGCGAACAGACGAGAGUGCUUGCACUCUCUGACGUUAGCGGCGGACGGGUGAGUAACACGUGGGUAACCUACCUAUAGGACUGGGAUAACUUCGGGAAACCGGAGCUAAUACCGGAUAAUAUUUAGCUUCGCAUGAAGCAAUAGUGAAAGACGGUUCUGCUGUCACUUAUAGAUGGACCCGCGGUGUAUUAGCUAGUUGGUGAGGUAACGGCUCACCAAGGCAACGAUACAUAGCCGACCUGAGAGGGUGAUCGGCCACACUGGGACUGAGACACGGCCCAGACUCCUACGGGAGGCAGCAGUAGGGAAUCUUCCGCAAUGGACGAAAGUCUGACGGAGCAAUGCCGCGUGAGUGAAGAAGGUUUUCGGAUCGUAAAACUCUGUUGUAAGGGAAGAACAAGUACGUUAGUAACUGAACGUACCUUGACGGUACCUUACCAGAAAGCCACGGCUAACUACGUG